rnacentral:rRNA from 1 species
GGGUGAGCGGCGGACGGGUUAGUAACGCGUGGGAACGUGCCCUUCUCUACGGAAUAGCCUCUGGAAACGGAGAGUAAUACCGUAUACGCCCUUUGGGGAAAGAUUUAUCGGAGAAGGAUCGGCCCGCGUUAGAUAGGUAGUUGGUGGGGUAACGGCCUACCAAGCCUACGAUCUAUAGCUGGUUUUAGAGGAUGAUCAGCAACACUGGGACUGAGAAACGGCCCAGACUCCUACGGGAGGCAGCAGUGGGGAGUCUUAGACAAUGGGGGCAACCCUGAUCUAGCCAUGCCGCGUGAGUGAUGAAGGCCUUAGGGUCGUAAAGCUCUUUCGCCUGUGAUGAUAAUGACAGUAGCAGGUAAAGAAACCCCGGCUAACUCCGUGCCAGCAGCCGCGGUAAUACGGAGGGGGUUAGCGUUGUUCGGAAUUACUGGGCGUAAAGCGCGCGUAGGCGGAUUAGAAAGUUGGGGGUGAAAUCCCGGGGCUCAACCUCGGAACUGCCUCCAAAACUGCUAGUCUAGAGUUCGAGAGAGGUGAGUGGAAUUCCGAGUGUAGAGGUGAAAUUCGUAGAUAUUCGGAGGAACACCAGUGGCGAAGGCGGCUCACUGGCUCGAUACUGACGCUGAGGUGCGAAAGUGUGGGGAGCAAACAGGAUUAGAUACCCUGGUAGUCCACACCGUAAACGAUGAAUGCCAGUCGUCGGAUAGUAUACUAUUCGGUGACACACCUAACGGAUUAAGCAUUCCGCCUGGGGAGUACGGUCGCAAGAUUAAAACUCAAAGGAAUUGACGGGGGCCCGCACAAGCGGUGGAGCAUGUGGUUUAAUUCGAAGCAACGCGCAGAACCUUACCAACCCUUGACAUCCUGUGCUACAUCCAGGGAUGGAUGGUUCCCUUCGGGGACGCAGU